AGCCAUUGUGUGUUUUGGAUAGAGCCGAUAUGAUAAAAAGUUUGUGGAUAAUGUUCGUUGAUAUAUUGCAAUGUGUUAAUGCUGAUCGACUUUGUCAUACUAACUCAUACUCAUACUAAGAGAUGUAAGCAACAAUAACAAGUUUCCUGAAGAAUGUUCCAGUCGGACAGUUAGAAACAAUUAUGUCUGUAUAAGUUGUGGAAUAUCUUUGGGAAGGCACUCACGAAGAUAAAAUCACAGGCCAUGGGCUUAUGGAAAAAAGUGAAGAGUGGAAUUAUAUAGAAAAACAAUCUCCGAGAUAGAUGAGUGAUGGAUGCCCAUGUAUGCGUUGUUUGCAGGAUGAGCUCACCUCAAAAGCAUUAAUAUCUAGUGAACAUAAAAGCUGUGUUAGGUUGUGAAGUGGAUGACCAACCUCAUCAACCAGGGUUAUUGCUGAGCCGCCAAUGUCGUUGGAUCAGCCAGUAAUGUCCUAACUGAAUCAGGGAUCACAAAGAAAUUUUUGUGUUUUGUCCCCACCGGGACUUGAACCUGGGACCUCCGGAAUGUUAGCCACUGGACCACAUAGGCCGAGAGUAUAUGGUUAAGUUGCUGUUUUAUUUCAACUAUUUAAUUAAAUGAAGGAAUAUUUUG